ensembl:lncRNA
AAGCUUUCAGGGAUUCUACCUGUCAAUCAACGUGGCCCCUCAGUGCAGGCGAACGGUCAUUACGGAGAACUGGAACGGAGCUAUUUUCCUUUUAUUUUCCAUGGCUAGGGUUUCACCAGAGAAAUCUGUCUAAUGUGAGAUAAGGCAUCUGAUUGCUACAGCUACACCCAGCCAACACUUGUGUGAACAAUAGAGCCAUGGUGCAUUGAUCAGUGUCUGGAGCCCAGAUGCAAAUCACUGCGGAGAAUAUUUGAAUGGGCGUAGUUAGCAGCCACUGACAGCAUGAGCAAUGAUGUGUGAUAUUAAACUGGCCAGUAGCGUGUGUAUAAAUGACAACCACCAUAACAAAUUAUAAAAGAGAAUUUUGAAUGUUUUUGCCACAUCUAAAGGAGAUUGGAACAAGAUAAAGCAUCAUUCUCACAAAAAGAGGACAUAAUCUGAUGAAUUAAAGACACUAUAAUACUAUAAGAUGCUUACUUAAAAACACGAGUAAAGGCAAAGCUAUAAAGUAUGACUUGUCUUACAUUUUAUGAGUCACUCCCAGAAUUAAAAAAAAAAAAAUUACAACCUAGGACCACUGAAUUGCUGUUGUAUCAAAGUAAGAACAAAGCUGUGUCUCUGCAGCACAUGAGGCACUUUUACAUUAAAGCAAACAGCCAAAGGCAUACAAUGUAUAAAUCCUGCUGCCUGCUAAAUGAAAGGAGUCUUGCAGCGCUGUGCAGCUCUGUUCUCCAGAGUCGGAAAUUCCCAGCAGGUUUGAAGUACAUCUUUUGUCAGGAGUACAGGGCCCAGUUUGAAAAAUAAUGACGCUUUGUGGCGUUCCCUUUCCUGUUGUUCAUGUGAAACGCGGCUAAAUGGCAAAGUAAAUGUUAAUGGAGUGAAAAGAAAACCUCUCGAAUUCUAAAAUAUAAAUAACAGUACUUUAAUUGCACCUAACUACACAAAAAUGCUCCAGUCUUUCAGGAUAAUUUCAUGUAGUGUUAUAAGUUACAAAAACAAAUUGAGAAAUGAGUGUACCUUCAGGGUCUGUUAAGCAAACUGGCCCUGAAGUGCCGCUAUCCUUCCCCCACAUGUACCUCGCCUCCCAUCUACUCACCG